GUCCCCCCUCCUUUCUGCUGUGACUUCCGUGCCGGCAGCGUUCAGCGUGGAGUUUAGCGUGACUGUUUGGAUUACUUCUCAUGAGUUUAAGUCGCGGGCUCGUAUUCGAUUGCCGGCUCAGCGCUGUGGUAUGCAUCUCUGAUGUUGCCUGGGCACUUUCACUUUAGUAAGUGUUAGUGAUUGUGCUGCCUUGCUGCGGGCAUUGUCUGCUGGAGCUGUUUGCUGUAGC